rnacentral:rRNA from 1 species
UCAGCACACCAGUGAAAUAGCCCUAACACAAAAUGGAGCAGAUAUCAGGCACGAUAAUCAGCCCAAAACAUCAAGCUAUGCCACACCCACACGGGCCUCAGCAGUGAUAAACAUUAAGCAAUAAGCGACACUUAAUCUAAGCUUGACUUAGUGAUGAUUAAUUAGGGCCGGUAAACCUCGUGCCAGCCACCGCGGUUAUACGAGGGGCCCAAGACAGCAGACUCCGGCGUAAAUCGUGGCUAGACUAUAAACCAAUGCACUAAGAACUAAACAAUAGUCCAAACGUAAAAAACGGACUAAAUGAAACCAAGCACUCUUAACAUACGGUAAUUUGACCCACGAAAACUAAGAAACAAACUAGGAUUAGAUACCCUACUAUGCUUAGUCGUUAAUAUGACACCAAAAUACACACGUGUCCGCCAGAAAACUACGAGCGAAAAGCUUAAAACUCAAAGGACUUGGCGGUGCUCUAUAUCAACUUAGAGGAGCCUGUCCUAUAAUCGAUAAUCCACGCUAAACCUCACCAAUACUUGCCAAAACAGCCUAUAUACCGCCGUCGCCAACUUACCUCAUGAGAGAAAAACAGUAAGUAUAAAAGUUUAAAAACUAAAACGUCAGGUCAAGGUGUAGCUUAUGAAUUGGAAGAGAUGGGCUACAUUUUUUAUACUAAAACCACGGCAUGAUCUCAUGAAACUGGGGUCUGAAGAAGGAUUUAACAGUAAAAACAGCAAGAAAACUGUCUUUAAAUAUG